AAAGUCGUAACAAGGUUUCCGUAGGUGAACCUGCGGAAGGAUCAUUAUUGAAAUAAACCUGAUGGGUUGUUGCUGGCUCUCUAGGGAGCAUGUGCACGCCUUGUCAUCUUUAUAUCUCCACCUGUGCACUUUUUGUAGACCUGAAAAGGUCUAUGUUGCUUCAUUUUACCCCAAUGUAUGUCUAUAGAAUGUUGUGCCUAUGAUAAUAUAUACAACUUUCAGCAACGGAUCUCUUGGCUCUC
rnacentral:misc_RNA from 1 species